GUGAAAGGGUUCCAUGUUAAAGCGGGCAAAAUUCUCCCCGCCAGUAGCCGCUACUAACGGGGAGAGCUGCAUAGUGGCUCACGAGCCGAGCUCACAGAUGCACCGGCUCUCGUCUGAAACGGUCCAAUGCAUUUUGCGGGGAUUUCUAUCCCCAGCAGUCGCUUCAGCUCACGUGAGCCUAUCGGGCGCUUACUGCAGUGACUCAUACUCCUGUAUAUCCCGUUCCGGACAUUAAGAACAACUUGUCACUCAUUGCAGGAAGAAGGUAUUUCACACUCAUAGACAGAAAAUGCAUUUUGGAAUAUUCCGAUCAAAAUAGAGGGUCAAGACAAGACAGGAUUUAAUAAAGUCUUCUCGGGCUAUCAGCCGUGUUAGAUGUUGAUCAAUCGCCGACGUUUCGAGGACCAUCUCAUUUUCAAGGCUGUUGACUGUGUGGCUCGUAGCGCGAACUAGUUUAAAUGUCCAAGACUAGUGCGAGUAUCCGAGCGGCGUUUGGUGGGGGAGUGUUGUCUUUGUACUGCUGGAACCCUAUGUUGCCCGAGAAGACUUUAUUAAUAAAAGCCGCCGUGAAAGCUUCACAUCAUAUGCAAGACAGGAUUUGUGAAACCAUUUGGCAGUUUUCCGAUACGAGAAAAUAGUUGUUGGACUUACAGGAGCACUGAGCACAUUUCCGAAAGCAAUGGGUAAUGUUCUAUUAGGACUUAGACAUUGAAUGCCCAGUUUAUCUGUAUGAUGUUCUAACAUACAGUCCGACCAUACAAGACUUCGAUUACUGUUUGAACGCAUUAGGGAUGCCAAUUUUAAAUUAAAUUUGAAUAAAUGCACGUUUCCGACUCCACCAGUUGCUUACCUAGGACGUCGGGUUAGCCGGAAUGGAGUUGCGCCGGAUGAGAGUAAGGUUGCAACGACGCCACAAACUCAAGGAUGUUCGGGGCUUCCUUGGUCUCCCAGGAUAUCAUCGUUCAUUCAUUCAUAAUUUUGGGACAAUUAUCAGGCAUUUGACCUUACUUAUUGGUAAGGAAAUCCAGUUUGAUUGGACGGCAAAACAACAGGAAACUUCCGAUAAAUUAAGAAGAGUACUAUCAUCAGAAUCAGUGCUGGCCCAUCCAAAUUUUGAACUUCCAUUUAUAUUAAGCUGUGGUGCAUCUAAUUAUGCAAUUUCGGCUAUUCUCAGUCAAAACCAAAAUGAUCAGGAACGCCCGUUGAGCUUCGCUAGCAGAAGUCUGAACGAACAUGAAAUAAAUUACAGUUUUACGCAUAAAAAAUUACUUUCAGUUAUAUUCGAAAUUAAAGUCUACAGAUGUUUUCUGUACGGUACUAACUGGUCAUGCCGCCUUGAAAUGGCUGAUAACGGUAAAAAACCAUCAGUGCGCUCGAUUUAUGCAAUGGGUGCUCAAAUUUUCAGAAUAUGAAUUCGAAAUCAUUCAUAAACCGGGUAAGAAACAUAUCAAUGCGGAUGUGCUGAGUCGACACAUCGCCUCAGUACAACCAACUCCGGAAGUUACUGUAGAUCUUAUGCGUGAAACGAUAUUUAGUGAACAACAAACGGGAGUCUGUUGUCAAGAACAGAGAAAUAAGCUGACUACUGACUCCGAAUCGAAAUUAUUCCUAAAUAGCAAUGGAAAUCUUUGUUAUAAGGAAACCGGACAUAGCACGAAUUGUGCCACAAAAUUUAAUUUCAACAGUCAUUGGGCAACAUUACGAUAAGGUGUACAUGGGACACCAAGGCAUUAAAAUAAUUCAAGAUACAAUAAAAUUGAAUUACUUUUGGCCCACGUUGAACAAACACGUGGAGGAAUAUGUAAAUAAAUAUCAUUCCUAUACUCAGCAUAAAGGCUGACGAGUAAUACCCGCUCCUUGAGAUGAACUUCCAGAAACCUCUCCAUUUGAAAUUACUUCGAUAGAUAUUUGUGGUGCCUAUCCUGUGAAUGAGAAAGGAAAGAAAUAUCUACUUACCUUAAUUGACCAUUUUACGCGGUUUCCCGAAACCGUACUUACACCCAAUCAGGUCGCGGAGACGGUAGCUCACGCAUUGCUUGUGAACGUAUUCAUUCGUCAUGGUUGUCCAAGGGUCCCAAGUUCAGAUCGACGAACAAAUGCUGUCAGAAUUAUUUCAAGAAAUGUUUAAAUUAUUACAGAUUAAGAGGUGUUGUAUUUGGAAACCUUCGUGGUCGCUUUCCCCAAAUUAGGUAGGUCUUGCAUCACGAAUAGACUUACAUAAUGAUUAAGCAUUACCGUCAUGACAAACAGGAAGGAAAUUAUGAUUCCUCGCCGCAUCAUACGUAAUCGAGGCACGAGGAUUACUGAUGUAACCUUCGAUGAAAUGAUAAAUCAUUCAACACUUUCACCAGUCAGGGGCCAAGGUUCUAAGUUUCACAUUUAAUUUACUUUAAAUUGGUAUAAAAAGAAUCGGAAAUUAGGCAGUAACCGUCGAUACGAGCAGCUGGGAAGCCUCUGCUAACCAAGCAUGCCGUGCAUCAUAGUCGACGUCUUUACAGAUAGCUACUAGAAUUUUACCUUAACUACUGGACAUGUUAUCGCACCAGACUUACCACAGCUGAUCACUGGCAAGGAAAGUCAAUAGUUGGAAGAAUACAGCAAGAAAGCAAACUCCACACUUGCUGCCCUCGAGACUGUGAUGCGACGGGACACGUCUACGCAUCAACAAAGUUACAUCGAAUUAAGCCAACUACUGCAAACAUUAGAGCAGAAGAUAACCACUCAACACACCACACAUUGGCUCACAUUUGGCAUCUGUUUUACAUUUACACUAAACAUUUUAUUCCUUACCUUAAAGUAUUGCAGACGACAUCGUAAAACGACUUGCUCCAGGAUGUUCGCAUGGCGAAAUGGUAACCUCUUCGACGGAAGCAGGCCGCCCUCCCAACAAUCUUGGAGGAAGCCGGCCCGAUAGCCGAAGAUCUACUUCCGCUUCAAGUCGAAACAUGUUCCAACCUAACAUCACGUCAAGUAAGCCCAGCACGUGUAACAACGGCUUAAAUCACCGAACUAAGAAGUAAGCAGACGAAUUUACAGUCUGGUACCAAAAGCAACGAACCAAGGAUCUCACGACCAGGACUGGUCCAACUUCCUUCGUCCAGAUAACGACAAGACAUUAUACGUACUGUUAUAAGAAAUGUUAUUCCAAAAGAUUAACCACCCGGAUAUCUAAUGUAUACACUAAAAAUGUUCCAAUAAUUAUUCACAGCGUGAAUUUACUAACACUUAGAAUAACGUAUUAUAACAUUAAUUAUAUGUAACAUAGAACCAGAAUAAGCGUGACAGAAAACAAUCUCACAACUCAGCUAAAAACCGUCUCAAAAAGAUAACUGACCAAGACGACCUCAUUAAACUCCAGCUCAAUCGAGCUGUGACUUUCAAUUUAGGUUGGGGUAGUUGUUGUAUUUGGACACUUUCGUGGUCUCAUUCCCUAAAUUACGAGAGCAUGGUAACUUUCGCAAUAUGAGCAUACUUACGUAAUAAGUGACACUGCUAUGACACGCGGGAAGGAAGCUGUGGUCUUGAUACCUCGCCGCUAGCGAUGAUUCAAGGUUUGCAAGCGUAACCUAAGCAUUGUCACACUUUAUGCUAAAUCGAAGAUUAUUGGAGGAUUAUUGAUGUAACCUCCGGUGAAGGGAUAAGUCACCCAAUUGUUUCGCCAAUCGGAGACCAAGGUUCUAGAUAUCACUCUUCCGCCCCCAGACAUUUUAACUGCUUUGAAUUAGUAUCAAAAGAGGCAGAAAUUAAGAAGUAGUCGUCGAGACGAGCAGCUGGGAAGCCUUCACUAACCAAGCAUGCUGUGCAUUAUAGUCGGCGUUUGUGAAUAUUGUCUGUUUUACUGUCACUGAUUCACUAAGUAACGAAGUCAUUGAGUAACUUCAGAAUAAUUGUAACAAAUUUGAACUAGGUAGUGGUUCUGUUUAGAAGUAGGUUGUGAGGUUUAUAUUUGUAUUCAUUGAUUGUAGAGGCAUUAUAAUAUUGUGCAUAACUAUUUCUGUAUAGAUUUACUUACAUAAUUCUUGUUAUAAUAUAUCCAUAUAUUACUGAG